AAAGGUAAAAAAAAAAAAAAAAAGCAAUGGAAGAAAAAAUCAAAAAUUUCAAACAAAUUAUUAAGCAUUAAUUAUAUUAAUUUUUU
rnacentral:ribozyme from 12 species